rnacentral:rRNA from 3 species
CCUACGGGAGGCAGCAGUGGGGAAUAUUGCACAAUGGGGGAAACCCUGAUGCAGCAACGCCGCGUGAGUGAUGAAGGCCUUCGGGUUGUAAAGCUCUGUCUUUGGGGACGAUAAUGACGGUACCCAAGGAGGAAGCCACGGCUAACUACGUGCCAGCAGCCGCGGUAAU